GAUGAACGCUAGCGGCAGGCCUAAUACAUGCAAGUCGAACGGUGUCUUCGGACAUAGUGGCGCACGGGGGCGUAACACGUAUGCAACCUACCUCACAUUGGGGGAUAGCCUUUCGAAAGGGAGAUUAAUACCGCAUAAGACAGUAGCUGGGCAUCCAGCAGCUGUUAAAGAUUUAUCGAUGAAAGCUGGGCAUGGGUCCAAUUAGCUAGUUGGUGAGGUAACGGCUCACCAAGGCAAUGAUUGGUAGGGAACUGAGAGGUCAAUCCCCCACACUGGCACUGAGCUACGGGCCAGACUCCUACGGGAGGCAGCAGUAGGGAAUAUUGGGCAAUGGACGCAAGUCUGACCCAGCCAUGCCGCGUGCAGGAUGAAGGCGUUAUGCGUUGUAAACUGCUUUUAUACAGGAAGAAACGACUCUUGCGAGAGGCAUUGACGGUACUGUAUGAAUAAGCACCGGCUAACUCCGUGCCAGCAGCCGCAGUAAGAC
rnacentral:rRNA from 1 species